rnacentral:tRNA from 1 species
GUCCCCAUCGUCUAGCCCGGUCUAGGACUCCAGAUUUUCGAUCUGGCAACACGGGUUCAAAUCCCGUUGGGGACGCCA